CCACAUUAAAUCUUGACAUCUCAUCCAUUUGGUAUUGUACGAAGCUCCCCAUGAAAGGGUAUCCACCGUCUGAUCUAAUCCCUUGCCGUUCUUCUAGAAUUUUCAUCGUGAUCUUCUCGUUCGAGCUGAAACCCUCAUUUAUAGGCUGCAUCAUUGUGUCGUCGCUUGUUCUUAGCCUCUUGGGACUUCCUUGCAUUCCAGUGACGCCUUCUAGGUCACCGUUGUGACUGGGAUUCAGAUGGUAAUCGUCGAGGCCUCCUCCUCCCAUGGGGAUCUUCUCUUGGUUACUAGUUGACUUAGAAGCAGAAUCAUCGAUGUUCUCAUCCAAAUUUGGUGUCUUCUCCAUGGAUCCCAUGUUCUUUCCUUGCUCCUUCAUUUCCUCCGCGUACAUCUCUUCCACCAUCGGUUUCCAUAGCCGAACCCUCGCGUUUAUGAACCAGUUCGACACCUAAUAAGAAAGAAAAUAAAUCGUGUUUUAUGUCACAAUUUAGGGUUGGACAAAAAAUUCGAAUUCGAAAAAUCGAAUCGAUCCCAAUCCGAAUAAGUAGUACCAAACCCGAACCGAAAUUGAUUAAAUAUCCAAAUUAUUCAAACUUUUGGUAUUUGAAGAAUUGAAACCUAAUCAGAUCCGAACCGAAGUAUUUUGGACAUCCAAAAUAGAUUUAUAUACUUAUAUAUAUUAAUUAUUUUUAGAUUUAAUAUAUACAAAAACAUCCAAAAUAUAUACAAUACUUUUAAGUUUUUUUAAAUACUUGGAAAUAUAUACAAAUAAUCAAACGUAAAUAUCUAAAAUAGUUAAAAUAUACUCAAAACUCUAAAAACACUUAAAUAAUUAUUAAUUCUCGAUCCAAAUAUUUAAACCAAACCAAUUUAAAUUGGUUAUCCAAAUCCGAACUGAAUCCUUAAAGAUCUGAACCGAACACGAAAUCUCAAACAUGCCCGAAAACGAACCCGAUCGCCCACUCCUAAUUUCACUAUUAUAUAUUUUAUAUGUGUCAUCAUAGGUUACAAAAAUAUGUGUUAUCAUAUAAUUAAUCGUAUUUUAUACGUACCAUCAAAUAAGUAAUCUUAUAAUUAAUAAUAUUUUGUACGUACAAUCAUAUAAAUAAUUACAUAUAUUAUAUUUUUAAAUUUCAAUGUAAAAUAUAAAAAUAAUAAUUUAAGUUGGUGUUUGAAAUUGGGCUUUGUAUUGUAUUUUUCUUAUAUAUAUUGAAAACAUUUUUAUAAUGGUUAUUGGAAAAUAUGUUAGUAAAAAUCAAUUUUUGAAUAUAUGUAUAUUUUUGAAUGAAUUUUUGAUAUAAAUCAAUUUUAAAUUAUUAUUUUGAUUUGAAUAUGUAUAUCAAAUAACAUAAGUCCAUUACUUUUUAAUAUUAUGUAAUGAACUUCCAAUUUUUUUAAUAGCAUAAGUUCAUUACUUUUUCUUUUCUAGCUGACUGCUAUCCACGUUUUCAAACAACAUUAUAUUUAUUUUUUAACUACUAUCCAUGUUUCCAAACAAAUAGUAAAAGUAUUUCUACUUUAAUAAGAUAGAUGUAUAUCAACUAACAUAAGUCCAUUACUUUUUAAUAUUAUGUAAUGAACUUCCAGUUUUUUUAAUAGCAUAAGCCCAUUACUUUUUCUUUUCUAAUUUAUUGCUAUUAAUGUUUCCGAACAGCAUUAUAUUUAAUUUUUUAAUAUUAUCCAUGUUUCCAAACAAAUGGUAAAUGUAAUUCUACUUUAAUAAGAUAGAUAUGAUAGAUAUGACAGCAUAUAUUGUUCAACAAAAAAGUCACAACUAAAAUUCUGCAGCAACAUCACAAAACCCGACAACAGAAGUUCGACAGCAAAAAAAGAUGUAAAACCACAAUUGUAAGCAAUCGUGCUCUUAGAUUGGAAAAAUGAAAAUGACAGCGAUCCAAAUAGCAACUCUUUGGAUUUUAGCAUAGUUGUAUUUAUUAUUAGUUGAAUUAUUUACAGGUUGAAAUUUCGAAUCUGAUUGUUUAGAAAACUAUACUUCAUUUGAUGUGUGAAUGUUUAUAACUUCAUUUGAAGUCCAACACAUAUCCACUUCUAAAAAGAUCAAGUUUCGAACCGCUUUCUUUCUGCAUACAAUAUUCUUAGUUUAUAUAUCUUAGAUUUUUUUCUUGUCAAACAUACAGCUUAGAUUCUUUCCGUGACCUCUGACAGAAUAAAGAAUAAUAAAAAGUAGAAGACAUUUUUUGAACUAAAACGUAGAAGAUAUACCUCGGUGGCUCGGUUGCUAGAGGCAAAAUCCGAACAUCGGAUGCCAAAACAGAAAACACAGGCAUAGAGAUGCCGGCUAAACAAGCAAGAAAACCCUUUCUCUCUCCAAAAUUGAGGAGAUGGAAGAAAGAGAGGUGUUGUAUACUAUUACUAUAUAGUUAUGCAUAUUGGAUAACUCAGAUCACUAUCUUAUUAUUACAGUGAAAGAAAAGGAUAAAAAUGUAUCUUUGGUAUACACCCAAAAGCAAGCAAUUACACGUAACUAAUCCCAUAUACAUACAAUCCUAUUCAUCCCCCAAUAGAAACCAAAACAAAAACAAAAAUCGAAAUCGAUAUACAACCGUCGACCAUAUGUAAUCAAAGACUAAAAUUAAAAUUUGUUCUUUGUUAUGGUUCAAUGGUAUAAGAAAACUAUAUACUAAUUCAAUUACUAAAAACGUAUAAUAACCUUGUUUAGUUGCUCUUGGCUUUUAAGCAACGAAAUCAGGCAAUAACUGAGCCACAUAUCUCUUCUGGUUCUGUAUGUUCAUCCCAUUGUAAGCCGCAGCUGCUGCGGCUGAUGAAUGUGCGGUUGCGGCUGAGCCGCUGCCACCAUUUAUGGCUGAGUUUCCAUAUUCCUCUGUUUCUCCUAUUUUCACACUUCUCCCUAUCUGAAUUCCAUGGUGGGUCUGCAUGAAACCCUGAUGGUGCGUGGAUGACAAGCUAUCACAAUGAGGUAACCCUAACGUGAGAGACACGCCAUUGUUGUUUCCUGAGAACCUCUGUGUUAAAAGCUCCUGGUCCGAGACAGCCACAUUAAAUCUUGACAUCUCAUCCAUUUGGUAUUGUCCAAAGCUCCCCAUGAAAGGGUAUCCACCGUCUGAUCUAAUCCCUUGCCGUUCUUCUAGAAUUUUCAUCUUCUCGUUCGAGCUGAAACCCUCAUUUAUAGGCUGCAUCAUUGUGCCGUCGCUUGUUCUUAGCCUCUUGGGACUUUCUUGCAUUCCAGUGACGCCUUCUAGUUCACCGUUGUGACCGGGAUUCAGAUGGUAAUUGUCGAGGCCUCCUCCUCCCAUGGGGAUCUUCUCUUGGUUACUAGUUGACUUAGAAGCAGAAUCAUCGAUGUUCUCAUCCAAAUUUGGCGUCUUCUCCAUGGAUCCCAUGUUCUUUCCUUGCUCCUUCAUUUCCUCCGCGUCCAUCUCUUCCAC
rnacentral:lncRNA from 1 species